rnacentral:lncRNA from 1 species
UUGCCUCUGAUCUCAACCCCAGCUCCCACCCAGGCUCCCUAGCGCGUUCCUGGUCUGCCCCCUACGCUGGCCACCUCUGGUCCCACUCUGCCUCCUACACGGGAGCCCUGCUCUGGGCUGCGAUCUUGAGUCCUCAGAUGCCCCAACCCUCAUCCUUCAUGGCAGAUAGCUGGAGUUUCCAACUCUGUCCUGAGGACCCGAAGUGCGCUCCCUGGAUGAGUCUGGGCUGUGCCCCUGCGGAGCUUCAGUUUCUCCAGCUUGAAGCAGUGACUCUAAAGGUUUAUGAGCGCGAAUAAAGGGUCUCCACUCGUGACUGGAAUCCCCCAGAUGCCUUCUGAUGCUGUUAUGGAAUGAAGUAAGUGACAGCCCUUCCACACACCCACCGAGCUACCCACCUGCCCCUUAGCUACACGCCCACUUUGAACAGGUCCUGACAGAGACAAGACCAGUGCAGUUACCUUGGCUCUAAAGAGAAUGCAGUCGUUGGUUCUGACCCCAGGCCCACACCCUCGGUAUGAGCUCUGCCUCCACACCCCUCAGGGCAGUCCUGUGCAUUUACCCUUUCUCCCGUGUGUCUGCAUGAAUGCCCUGGAAGUCCCUAAGUGAUAGUCUGCAGGAGGUAGACACUGGAGAGGGCUCAUCCCUGACCCAGGAAGAGGGCAGGCUAGAGCAAGGACUAAACAUUGGCUUUGAAAAGGAGCAGUGUGCAGGUUGGUUAACCAGGGGCUUGGCUCAGGCCAGGAUUUUAGCCUCCUUGUAUGGAUAUUGAACAACACAUCAGAGCAGCUCAGAACUGCAGAAUCCGUGUUUGUGAAAUUUGCCUACUCACUGAAAUGUAUCUACAGCUCCAAGAUCAAUACUGGAAGUACAUUUGCAGCCCUUCACAGACAUGCACACAUCGAGAAAGUUGGAGUCACCAGUGGACAGGUGGAAAUUUUCUCCAUCUAUGGCUUUACUUCCAUUUUCAGAUGCAUUUAUGAUCGAAAUACAUGGAAUCUGCCUUGCCAGCAUGCCAAGCGUCCGACGACAUCAAAUACAGUGAUUCAAAAGCCCCGUCAAGAGUCCUACUAUGGGAGCCAGAAAGACGGCUUGGCGGGCAAGGGCACUUGUUGCUUUUGUAGAGAACCUACAUGGUGAUUCACACCAUCUCUAACUCCAA